GCCCCUUUAAGAACCCCUGUGAGGGCCAUUGUGGCAGUUGGAGCCUGGUGGAAGGACCAGGUGGCAGGGAUUCAUCAGCAUCAUAGCAGAGGACUUUAAUUCACCCCUGUCAGGAGGGAAAGUCAUCAAGGAAUCCAGAAACAAUGAUUUCCUCCCAGAGACAGAAGAACAGCUUAAGAUGGCACCACGUGGAGCAUCUAGCUAACAGCCUAUUGGAAGCAUAUGCAACACUGCUAUGUCAUCAGUCCAUGAUCCUGGCCAUAAACUCCAGCUCUGUGGAUCCCUUACAACAAUACGACACCCAGUUGGAGAUCAUAAAAUCAUCUUUUAAAAUGAUAUUUGGCCUACCGAGUUUUGACGAAGGAACAGUUCGGACCAGUGGUGAGGAUGCCGAGGAACUGGAGAUUUUAUAUAAAAAUAUUUUAAGUCUGCUCGAGGACACUCUUCUGAUCUUAGUAUCUAAAGACCUCUACAAACUGCAGAUCUUAAAGGAAAUGAUGGUGUGGAUGAGAGAAGACAAUUUGUACCUGCAAGAGAAACCACUGGUGAUCAUCAGCAAGGUGUUAAGAUUUGCAUCCAGGAAAGUCAGGGAACAUACAAGUAUUGAUGCUCCAUGUUUAGGUGUCCUGGCAGCAGAGCUGUCUCUUUUAUAUUCCCACGCGGAUCUCACCAUCGUACAACAAGCUUCCCUGGCAGUAUAUUACCUCCUCAGCAUUGCAAAACGUCAGAUGGCAGACUUCCAAAAAUAUAAAGCUAAGAUGCAGUAUGAGUGUGGAAAUUCCUGCCUCCUGCCUCCUGAUUCUGAAUUCCGACCCGGGAUCUUGAAACAAGACAAAACUAAACUCGCUCAGAGCAUAGGACAAACCUUACUGCCCUCCCUGCUGACUGACUUUGUGUUGUAUCUCCUGACGAAACUCUCCACAUCUAAUCAAGAAACCACAACCAAAGCAGCAGCCAUACUGAAACUGACUCUGAAAUAUCACGCCCAGAAGAUCACCAGGGUGUCUCAGCUGGUGGACACUAUUUAUAAGCAACUGAAUGAAAAUCCUUCUUACUUUAUAAAGGAUGUCUUGUUGGAGGUUGCCACCUUGUUGACACAAUCGUCGCCCAAAGCUGUCAUCUUUCAGCUCUUGGACUACCCAGUCCCAGCGGACAAAGCUGUGAUGCUGAUGUGGCAGGCAGUGGGCACCAAGCCACAAGUCGCCCCGCAGGUGCUGAAGGCAAUCCUCUUGGUGCUGAAGGACAAGCCUUGGGAGGUGGAGGACAGCCUGCAGGAAGGGAAAUGCUUCAUCUUGGAUGCCACCAACAUGAUGCCUCUGGCGGCAUCCCAGGCCCUGUGCGUGCUUUUGCCUAUAAAUUCCUAUAACAAAACAGUGGCCCAGUUUUUUCCUGAGCUCUUCAUGGCCCUCAUGUUUCAACUCCUCUACAUCAGUCAGCUGAGAGUGCAGACCCAGGACAGGCCUCUCUAUGCCAGGGAGGCACUGAGAAUUCUGCUGAAUUGCUCAGGACUGCAACACGUGGAUACGGCUCUAAAGAACAAGUUUUUCUGGAGUCAUAUUUACCAGACAUAUUACUACCAUGAUGGGGUGAACCUCAUGGCCAGAACUCUCUGUGACUGUAACUUCCCACAAUUUCCAGAAACCUUACGUUAUCUCUACAAGAUCUUAGUGCAAGGCCCUAGGAGGUCAGAAGAGCAUAUCAUCAUAGUAACAUUCUUCAUCAAAAUUCUGGAUAAGUUCUUCAAGGACCCACUCCCAGAAUUAUUUUUGGUCUUCCUCAGAAACUGGAUCAGUGAUUCCAAUCCUGAAAUUAGCAAAUUAAGCCUUCAGAAAAUCACCAGCAUGGCCCCGGUUGUCAAUAAGAUAGAAAAUGUCUCCAGCUUAUUAACAUCCAUCCUGGAUGCCUUCGUAUCCAGAGAGGACACUGUUGUGAUUCAAGCCUUGCUCACCCUCCGAAAACUUGUAGACAAACUGGACAAGGUGACCUACUCCUCGCUGUGCACUAGAAUUGCUUCCAGCUACUUCUGUCUGAUGGAUCAUUUUUCUGGGAGUGUCCGGAGCUUGGCUAUCAGGCACUUGGCGGACUUACUCAAGGACGUGGGUCAGCAAACAUCAACUCUCAAACACAUCAUGAGAGGACUCGCACCCCUCCUUCUCUGUCUGGAGGACAGCGAUGGUAGAGUAGUGAGUAUCCUUUCUCACGAGAGUUGCACUACGUAUUUAAUAUGUGAUGCCUUACGGUUCCUGGGGAAUCCCCAGGUGCAUCUGAGGAGAGCAGCAGUUAUUUUACUAGGUUACUUGGCGCAAUUGGGUGGACAUUUAUUAUUCAAAGAUGAAAUUGAAGUUAUGACUGAAGCUGUUGAACGAAUGCUCCAGGAUGAAGGCCCUGGGAUCCAGAAGCUGGCAGAAAUAACCCACAACCUUUUAAAGAAAAUAGCCAAUAGACCAAGAUCUACAACUAUUAAACUUGCUAUCCAGAGAUUCUUUAAGUUCUCCGCCAAGGAACUGAAGCUUAUUUAUAAUUGGAAAAGUACCACACAGACAGACCUGUAAGCUUCCUCUCUCGAUAACCUACCUGCGUCGGUAGAUGCUUUUCUGAAAGAUGCUACAGGCUUUCACUGCCCCUUUUCAAUUCUCUAUUGAAAUGUAUAAAUCUGAAAACUCUACUGCCUCUGUGUGUCUGGCAGUGACUAGAAGUCAUUCCUCACUUCUAGUGGGGAAUAGGUUCCAGGUCCCCAACAGAUCUGAACCCGACGGCUGUUUAAGUCCCUUACACAAAAUGGCAUAGUAUUUGCACAUAAGCUACACAUAUCCUCCCACAUAUUUUAUAUUUUAGAUUACUUAUAAUGCCUGAUACAAUGUGCAUGCUGCAUAAAUAAUUGUUAUAUGAGAUUGUUUAGGAAGUAAUGACAAAAAAUGUGCAGAUUUAGUGCAGACACAGAUAUCCCAAUAUUUCCCAUUCAUGGUUGAUUGAAUCCGUGGAUGUGAAAUCCACAAAUAUGGCUUAUACCCCACUGUAUCAGCAUGGUUCGGGUGAGAGGCUCUUGGAAAUUGAUUGAGUGAGCAUGUGCCG
ensembl:lincRNA